GAUCCUGGCUCAGGAUGAACGCUGGCGGCGUGCUUAACACAUGCAAGUCGAACGGAGUGCUCUUGAUUGAGGAUUCGUCCAAAUGAUAGAGUUACUUAGUGGCGGACGGGUGAGUAACGCGUGAGUAACCUGCCUUGGAGUGGGGAAUAACACAGUGAAAAUUGUGCUAAUACCGCAUGAUAUAUCGGUACCGCAUGGUAGUGAUAUCAAAGAUUUAUCGCU
rnacentral:rRNA from 1 species